AACGAACGCUGGCGGCAGGCUUAACACAUGCAAGUCGAACGCAUCCUUCGGGGUGAGUGGCAGACGGGUGAGUAACGCGUGGGAAUCUACCCAUCUCUGCGGAAUAGCUCCGGGAAACUGGAAUUAAUACCGCAUACGCCCUACGGGGGAAAGAUUUAUCGGGGAUGGAUGAGCCCGCGUUGGAUUAGCUAGUUGGUGGGGUAAAGGCCUACCAAGGCGACGAUCCAUAGCUGGUCUGAGAGGAUGAUCAGCCACAUUGGGACUGAGACACGGCCCAAACUCCUACGGGAGGCGGCAGUGGGGAAUAUUGGACAAUGGGCGCGAGCCUGAUCCAGCCAUGCCGCGUGAGUGAUGAAGGCCUUAGGGUUGUAAAGCUCUUUCACCGAUGAAGAUAAUGACGGUAGUCGGAGAAGAAGCCCCGGCUAACUUCGUGCCAGCAGCCGCGGUAA
rnacentral:rRNA from 1 species